ACCGCUGUGGGCGCCUCGGAGAGGGGUACGCCCGCUGCUUUCAUCUCCCUUUCUUGUCUCCCUGUAGAGCCUUUAUCUGCAAACGACAAAGGCUUGCUUACUCACAGAAAGUGAGGGGAGGCAGGCGUCCCUUCUUUCUUUUUCCCACCCCGACUCCACUCUUCAGCUUCUAGUUUGCUCUGUUUUCUUUGUCCAGGGAAAAAGAAGAAUAAGGCGAGCGAGAGAGGGAGAGAUGUUGGGGCUUUUCCUUCUGGGCUGCACGGGAGUGGUGGUCUUCCUUCAUGGCGCUAAUGUCUUCUACCACUAUCUCUCAACCCAUACGGCAGUACGUGCUCUCAGUUUCCUGGGAUUCGUAGGCUGCUAGAAUGAUGCCCUAUUGAUUCUGUUGCACUAGAGACGGCCAUGGUUCCUUGGAUCAGAUAACUCAUAGUUUGGCUUGUAAACUGUACAUAAUCAGGGAAUAAAAGGGACGAUGCCCUGCCAAGUUGCUUGAGAGGAGCAUCGGAAGUUGUUUGAGUUGUUUAUGUGAUGUAGAAUAUGCAUGGUUCUGUCUGUCUGAACAAAAAUUUUGUAUUUGACUAUAACAACAGAAUCUUUGAAUAAAGAGAGUUUCACUCUGUUA